rnacentral:rRNA from 1 species
GCGAACGCUGGCGGCAGGCCUAACACCUGCCAGUCGAACGGAUCCUUCGGGAUUAGUGGCGGACGGGUGAGUAACACGUGGGAACGUGCCCUUUGGUUCGGAACAACUCAGGGAAACUUGAGCUAAUACCGGAUGUGCCCUUCGGGGGAAAGAUUUAUCGCCAUUGGAGCGGCCCGCGUCUGAUUAGCUAGUUGGUGAGGUAACGGCCCACCAAGGCGACGAUCAGUAGCUGGUCUGAGAGGAUGAUCAGCCACACUGGGACUGAGACACGGCCCAGACUCCUACGGGAGGCAGCAGUGGGGAAUCUUGCGCAAUGGGCGAAAGCCUGACGCAGCCAUGCCGCGUGAAUGAUGAAGGUCUUAGGAUUGUAAAAUUCUUUCAGCGGGGACGAUAAUGACGGUACCCGCAGAAGAAGCUCCGGCUAACUUCGUG